rnacentral:rRNA from 1 species
CUUGGUCAUUUAGAGGAAGUAAAAGUCGUAACAAGGUUUCCGUAGGUGAACCUGCGGAAGGAUCAUUAACGAAUUCGAACUGGAAUCUGGAGUUGAAGCUGGUCGUCAGACAUCGUGCUCACUUCACUUCCGUUCAUUCAUUCUUCUCAACACCUGUGAACUCGAUGUAGGCUGAGAAAUCGGUCUAUGUAUACUUUUUACUACACCCUUUAAAGUGUAACGAAUGUCUAGAAAUAAACGGGACGCAUGUGCCCUUUAAUUCAAAAUCUAUACAACUUUCAACAACGGAUCUCUUGGCUCUCGCAUCGAUGAAGAACGCAGCGAAAUGCGAUAAGUAAUGUGAAUUGCAGAAUUCAGUGAAUCAUCGAAUCUUUGAACGCACCUUGCGCCCCUUGGUAUUCCGAGGGGCAUGCCUGUUUGAGUGUCAUUGAAUCAUCAACUCUGAAAACUUUUGUGUUUUCAGGGCUUGGACUUGGAGUGUGCUGGUGGGGGACCCCUCCUCAGCUCCUCUUCAAAUGUAUAAGUGGGACCUUGCGGAACCAACUCUGGCGUGAUAAUUAUCUACGUCGCAGCGGUGAAGCGAUCGGGAAACCCGCCUACAACCGUCGCCUGUAUGCGCGACAGGGGCUUUUCUUACCCCUAUUUAUUGACAAUUUGACCUCAAAUCAGGUAGGACUACCCGCUGAACUUAAGCAUAUCAAUAAGCGGAGGA